AGUUGCUUGUUUACAUGAUUAUUUCAAUAUAUCAGAUAUUCUAAUUUUGUAUAUAUCUGUCUCUCUCUCUCUCUCUCUCUCUCUCUCUCUCUCUCUCUCUCUCUCUCUUCAUGUAUCGUAUAUAUAUUAUUUUACAGAGUUUGUGAGACAGAUCUUCAAAAAAAGAACCAAUUACUGUGAUUGGCUUGUUGCAUCGAUAUUUCGAGAAUCGCAUGCGAGUAUCGUAUAUUAUCCACCUAUGGUUGACUCGCUGCAAUGAACCGAGCGCUGUGAUUGGUCCGUUGCGAACGUCAUCGCUCACUUCGAGAAUCGCAAGCAGUUCGAUAGAUAGAGUUAACGGCUCUCGACGCGGCAGAUCAGAUUCGAAAAGUCGCUCCGUAUUUUUCGCGUAUUUUUCGCGAUAUCGUUGAGUUGCGCGCGCGAAUUAUCGCCGACAGUGUCGCGCGUUUAUCAUUACAUUAAAUGCAGUUAAUCGCGCAUCGACAUCAUAAUUGGUUGAUUGAUCGCGGCAGGACAUAGCGAUUCGAAUUCCUCCGUACUUCUCAUACCCCGAAAAUGUGUAUUUCGCGCAUAAUUUGUCAUCGCGAGUGAAUGAAUAACGCAGUGCGUAUAAAGUGAAGUGUUUAGUGCGCAAAAAAGGUGGAAUAAGUGUUAGCCGAUAGCAACGAUAUUGGAUACACCGGCCCGGGAUUCUAGGAUGCAUGGAUCGUUGGAGAUUUUUCGAGGGCGGGAGUGAAGAGGGGGAGAUAGCUGAUUGCAACGAUCCCGAAAUCCAUCGGACAUCGAUGCAGUAGCGCCAACGGUAGAAGCUUCAGUUAUACCUGGUUUUACUGACAUCAGGAGGAUUUACCACCGGUAGAAAUUCGUUGUAACAUCCAGGGAGGUUUACGGAAUUACACAUGCAGCAACAAAUGUACAUGAAGAAAAACUCAAACCAAUUGCAUUUUCAACUUUCAAUUUAAUCUCGGAUCGAUGGAAGAUGUGUCACGGAAAUAAAAG